rnacentral:rRNA from 1 species
AUGAACGCUAGCGACAGGCUAACACAUGCAAGUCGAGGGGUAACAGGGUAGCAAUACCGCUGACGACCGGCGCACGGGUGAGUAACGCGUAUGCAACCUGCCUAUAACUGGGGAAUAGCUCCCUGAAAGGGGGAAUUAACACCGCAUAACACUAUUGAUUCGCAUGGAUUAGUAGUUAAAUGUAGCGAUACAGGUUAUAGACGGGCAUGCGUGACAUUAGCUAGUUGGUGAGGUAACGGCUCACCAAGGCUACGAUGUCUAGGGGUUCUGAGAGGAAGGUCCCCCACACUGGUACUGAGACACGGACCAGACUCCUACGGGAGGCAGCAGUGAGGAAUAUUGGUCAAUGGGCGCAAGCCUGAACCAGCCAUGUCGCGUGCAGGAAGACUGCCCUAUGGGUUGUAAACUGCUUUUAUAGUAGAAGAAACACAUCUACGUGUAGAUGUCUGCCAGUAUACUAUGAAUAAGCAUCGGCUAACUCCGUGCCAGCAGCGGC